AGUCUGAGUUGUACGGUUAUUCAGCUUUUGUAAUUUCUCGGGAUGUCUUGGGUAGGAAGCAAUUUAUAAGGCCAAAGGUUAAUUGGGGGAGGUUCUUGAAAAGUUUGAGAGAUUGCCUUCCUGUUUUUUUUCCCUCCAGGUGAUGAAAUCCCAGUUGUAAAGCACUGCCUCUAAUCUGAAGGGAAAAUUAUUGUAUUUUAUAUUCAUCUACAUUCAAAAGGAAGCAUUCAAUGAGCGUUUAAAAUACACCUUGCAUUUAAUUGUCAUUUUUUUUUCCAUUGUACCAGGAAUGAACAGGACCAACUGUCAGACAGCCAGGGAAUAUAAUAUCCAGGUUAAUUUAUAGAAGUGCCAAUUUCUACAGAAAUCUGUGUUUUUUUGUAAAAAAAUAAAAUAAUUAAAGGACUUAAUCAGCCUAGAGUGUCCCUUUAAGAAAGAAAUACAAACAUUGCAUUAUGAACUACAUUCAUUAAAGG